UUUUGUAUAAUGGGUCAGCGACUUAUAUUCUGUAGCAAGGUUAACCGAAUAGGGGAGCCGGAGGGAAACCGAGUCUUAAUUGGGCGUUAAGUUGCAGGGUAUAGACCCGAAACCCGGUGAUCUAGCCAUGGGCAGGUUGAAGGUUGGGUAACACUAACUGGAGGACCGAACCGACUAAUGUUGAAAAAUUAGCGGAUGACCUGUGGCUGGGGGUGAAAGGCCAAUCAAACCGGGAGAUAGCUGGUUCUCCCCGAAAGCUAUUUAGGUAGCGCCUCGUGAAUUCAUCUCCGGGGGUAGAGCACUGUUUCGGCUAGGGGGCCAUCCCGGCUUACCAACCCGAUGCAAACUGCGAAUACCGGAGAAUGUUAUCACGGGAGACACACGGCGGGUGCUAACGUCCGUCGUGAAGAGGGAAACAACCCAGACCGCCAGCUAAGGUCCCAAAGUCAUGGUUAAGUGGGAAACGAUGUGGGAAGGCCCAGACAGCCAGGAUGUUGGCUUAGAAGCAGCCAUCAUUUAAAGAAAGCGUAAUAGCUCACUGGUCGAGUCGGCCUGCGCGGAAGAUGUAACGGGGCUAAACCAUGCACCGAAGCUGCGGCAGCGACACUCAGGUGUUGUUGGGUAGGGGAGCGUUCUGU
rnacentral:rRNA from 1 species